rnacentral:rRNA from 1 species
GGUGAACGCUGGCGGUAGGCCUAACACAUGCAAGUCGAACGGCAGCACAGUAAGAGCUUGCUCUUACGGGUGGCGAGUGGCGGACGGGUGAGGAAUACAUCGGAAUCUACUUUUUCGUGGGGGAUAACGUAGGGAAACUUACGCUAAUACCGCAUACGACCUACGGGUGAAAGCAGGGGAUCUUCGGACCUUGCGCGAUUGAAUGAGCCGAUGUCGGAUUAGCUAGUUGGCGGGGUAAAGGCCCACCAAGGCGACGAUCCGUAGCUGGUCUGAGAGGAUGAUCAGCCACACUGGAACUGAGACACGGUCCAGACUCCUACGGGAGGCAGCAGUGGGGAAUAUUGGACAAUGGGCGCAAGCCUGAUCCAGCCAUACCGCGUGGGUGAAGAAGGCCUUCGGGUUGUAAAGCCCUUUUGUUGGGAAAGAAAAGCAGCAGGUUAAUACCCCGCUGUUCUGACGGUACCCAAAGAGUAAGCACCGGCUAACUUCGUG